GGUUGAUCCUGCCAGUAGUCAUAUGCUUGUCCUAAAGAUUAAGCCAUGCAUGUCCAAGUAUAAACAGGUUGUACGGUGAAACUGCGAAAGGCUCAUUAAAUCAGUUAUAAUUUACUUGACGGUCUCUUUACUACAUGGAUAACCGUGGUAAUUCUAGAGCUAAUACAUGGGAAGGGCCCGACUUUGCGGGAGGGCAGCAUUUAUUAGAUAACAAACCAACAGAAGGGUGGUGAGUCAUGAUAACUGAGCGGAUCGCAGGGCGUCAAGCCGGCGACGCGUCAUUCAAAUUU
rnacentral:rRNA from 1 species